GCAAGCCUGAUGCAGCCAUGCCGCGUGUGUGAAGAAGGCCUUCGGGUUGUAAAGCACUUUCAGCGGGGAGGAAGGCGGUGAGGUUAAUAACCUCAUCGAUUGACGUUACCCGCAGAAGAAGCACCGGCUAACUCCGUGCCAGCAGCCGCGGUAAUACGGAGGGUGCAAGCGUUAAUCGGAAUUACUGGGCGUAAAGCGCACGCAGGCGGUCUGUCAAGUCGGAUGUGAAAUCCCCGGGCUUAACCUGGGAACUGCAUUCGAAACUGGCAGGCUAGAGUCUUGUAGAGGGGGGUAGAAUUCCAGGUGUAGCGGUGAAAU
rnacentral:rRNA from 1 species